rnacentral:ncRNA from 1 species
CGGCCGUAACUAUAACGGUCCUAAGGUAGCGAAAUUCCUUGUCGGGUAAGUUCCGACCUGCACGAAUGGCGUAACGAUGGCCACACUGUCUCCUCCUGAGACUCAGCGAAGUUGAAAUGUUUGUGAUGAUGCAAUCUCCCCGCGGAAAGACGGAAAGACCCCAUGAACCUUUACUGUAGCUUUGUAUUGGACUUUGAACAGAUCUGUGUAGGAUAGGUGGGAGGCUUUGAAGCAGGGUCGCUAGAUCUUGUGGAGCCAACGUUGAAAUACCACCCUGGUGUGUUUGAGGUUCUAACCUAGGUCCAUUAUCUGGAUCGGGGACAGUGCAUGGUAGGCAGUUUGACUGGGGCGGUCUCCUCCCAAAGCGUAACGGAGGAGUUCGAAGGUACGCUAGUUACGGUCGGACAUCGUGACGAUAGUGCAAUGGCAUAAGCGUGCUUAACUGCGAGACUGACAAGUCGAGCAGAUGCGAAAGCAGGACAUAGUGAUCCGGUGGUUCUGUAUGGAAGGGCCAUCGCUCAACGGAUAAAAGGUACUCUGGGGAUAACAGGCUGAUACCGCCCAAGAGUUCAU